UACGGGGGGGGCAAGCGUUGUUCGGAAUUACUGGGCGUAAAGGGCUCGUAGGCGGCCAACUAAGUCAGACGUGAAAUCCCUCGGCUUAACCGGGGAACUGCGUCUGAUACUGGAUGGCUUGAGGUUGGGAGAGGGAUGCGGAAUUCCAGGUGUAGCGGUGAAAUGCGUAGAUAUCAGGAGGAACACCGAUGGCGAAGGCAGUUCUCUGGGCCGUAACUGACGCUGAGACGCGAAAGCGUGGGGAGCAAACAGG
rnacentral:rRNA from 1 species